GGCGGCGUGCUUAACACAUGCAAGUCGAACGAUGAAGCUCUUCGGAGUGGAUUAGUGGCGAACGGGUGAGUAACACGUGGGGAAUCUGCCCUGAACUCUGGGACAAGCCUUGGAAACGAGGUCUAAUACCGGAUACGACCGUCUGCCGCAUGGGGGUCGGUGGAAAGCUCCGGCGGUUCAGGAUGAUCCCGCGGCCUAUCAGCUUGUUGGUGGGGUAACGGCCCACCAAGGCGACGACGGGUAGCCGGCCUGAGAGGGCGACCGGCCACACUGGGACUGAGACACGGCCCAGACUCCUACGGGAGGCAGCAGUGGGGAAUAUUGCACAAUGGGCGAAAGCCUGAUGCAGCGACGCCGCGUGAGGGAUGACGGCCUUCGGGUUGUAAACCUCUUUCAGCAGGGAAGAAGCGCAAGUGACGGUACCUGCAGAAGAAGCACCGGCUAACUACGUGCCAGCAGCCGCGGUAAUACGUAGGGUGCGAGCGUUGUCCGGAAUUAUUGGGCGUAAAGAGCUCGUAGGCGGCCUGUCGCGUCGGAUGUGAAAGCCCGGGGCUCAACCCCGGGUCUGCAUUCGAUACGGGCAGGCUGGAGUGUGGUAGGGGAGAUCGGAAUUCCUGGUGUAGCGGUGAAAUGCGCAGAUAUCAGGAGGAACACCGGUGGCGAAGGCGGAUCUCUGGGCCAUUACUGACGCUGAGGAGCGAAAGCGUGGGGAGCGAACAGGAUUAGAUACCCUGGUAGUCCACGCCGUAAACGUUGGGAACUAGGUGUUGGCGACAUUCCACGUCGUCGGUGCCGCAGCUAACGCAUUAAGUUCCCCGCCUGGGGAGUACGGCCGC
rnacentral:rRNA from 1 species